AACGAACGCUGGCGGCAUGCCUAACACAUGCAAGUCGAACGAGACCUUUGGGUCUAGUUGCGCACGUGUGCGUACCGCGUGGGAAUCUGCCCUUGGGUUCGGAAUAACAGUGAGAAAUUGCUGCUAAUACCGGAUGAUGUCUUCGGACCAAAGAUUUAUCGCCCAGGGAUGAGCCCGCGUAGGAUUAGCUAGUUGGUGGGGUAAUGGCCUACCAAGGCGACGAUCCUUAGCUGGUCUGAGAGGAUGAUCAGCCACACUGGGACUGAGACACGGCCCAGACUCCGACGGGAGGCAGCAGUGGGGAAUAUUGGACAAUGGGCGCAAGCCUGAUCAAGCAAUGCCGCGUGAGUGAUGAAGGCCUUAGGGUUGUAAAGCUCUUUUACCAGGGAUGAUAAUGACAGUACCUGGAGAAUAAGCUCCGGCUAACUACGUG
rnacentral:rRNA from 1 species